rnacentral:rRNA from 1 species
AAAACAUCUUUUCUUGUUAGUUUUUGAAGUAUGGCCUGCCCGCUGACUUUGGUGUUGAAGGGCCGCGGUAUUUUGACCGUGCAAAGGUAGCAUAGUCAUUAGUUCUUUAAUUGUGAUCUGGUAUGAAUGGCUUGACGAGGCAUGGGCUGUCUUAAUUUUGAAUUGUUUAUUGAAUUUAGUCUUUGAGUUAAAAUUCUUAGAUGUUUUUAUGGGACGAGAAGACCCUAUAGAGUUUGACAUUUGUUAUGGUCCCUUUCUGUUUGUGAGGGUUCACUGGGCCGUUUAAUAUGUUUUGUUGGGGUGAUGGGAGGGAUAUAAAUGAACCCCUCCUUUUGUUAUUAUAUUUAUUUAUAUUUACUUGAUCCAUUUAUUUUGAUUGUAAGAUUAAAUUACCUU